rnacentral:rRNA from 1 species
AAAGGGCGCGUAGGCGGCCGAUUAAGUCGGGGGUGAAAGCCUGUGGCUCAACCACAGAAUUGCCUUCGAUACUGGUUGGCUUGAGACCGGAAGAGGACAGCGGAACUGCGAGUGUAGAGGUGAAAUUCGUAGAUAUUCGCAAGAACACCAGUGGCGAAGGCGGCUGUCUGGUCCGGUUCUGACGCUGAGGCGCGAAAGCGUGGGGAGCAAACAGGAUUAGAUACCCGAGU